UGCAAAGUGCUUAUGACGGCCUGCGUGCCUCACUGCACCUGGAGCAAAGGCCCUUUGUCAGGCUUUUAAGCCUUUUGCCUUCGCUCCAUUUUCUGUACUUGCACAGAAAGAAACAAAUAAAGAAAGAAAGAAAAUUUAACUAGAACA
rnacentral:lncRNA from 1 species